rnacentral:rRNA from 1 species
GACGAACGCUGGCGGCGUGCUUAACACAUGCAAGUCGAACGAAGUGGCGAACGGGUGAGUAACGCGUAAUCAACCUGCACUUCAGAGGGGGACAACAGUUGGAAACGACUGCUAAUACCUCCUCCUGAAGGAGGGGAUUGCGUCUGCUUAGCCAGUUGGAGGGGUAACGGCCCACCAAGGCGAUGAUCAGUAGCCGGUCUGAGAGGAUGAACGGCCACAUUGGUACUGAGACACGGCCCAGACUCCUACGGGAUGCAGCAGUGGGGAAUCUUCCGCAAUGGACGAAAGUCUGACUGAGCAACUCCGCGUGAGUGAUGACGGCCUUCGGGUUGUAAAGCUCUGUUAAUCGGGACGCGGUACCGGAAUAGAAAUCCACGGCUAACUACGUGCCAGCAGCCGCGGUAAUAC